CCUACGGGAGGCAGCAGUGGGGAAUUUUGGACAAUGGGGGCAACCCUGAUCCAGCAAUGCCGCGUGAGUGAAGAAGGCCUUCGGGUUGUAAAGCUCUUUUGUCAGGGAAGAAACACCGGCUCUAACACAGUCCGGGAAUGACGGUACCUGAAGAAUAAGCACCGGCUAACUACGUGCCAGCAGCCGCGGUAAUACGUAGGGUGCGAGCGUUAAUCGGAAUUACUGGGCGUAAAGCGUGCGCAGGCGGUUAUACAAGACAGGCGUGAAAUCCCCGGGCUUAACCUGGGAAUGGCGCCUGUGACUGUAUAGCUAGAGUGUGUCAGAGGGGGGUAGAAUUCCACGUGUAGCAGUGAAAUGCGUAGAUAUGUGGAGGAAUACCAAUGGCGAAGGCAGCCCCCUGGGAUAACACUGACGCUCAUGCACGAAAGCGUGGGGAGCAAACAGGAUUAGAUACCCUGGUAGUCCACGCCCUAAACGAUGCUGACUAGUUGUUCGGGAUUUACAUCCUGAGUAACGUAGCUAACGCGUGAAGUCAGCCGCCUGGGGAUCGGUCGCAAGAUUAAAACGUUAAGGAAUUGACGG
rnacentral:rRNA from 1 species